CAUUGUUGUUGCUAACUGAAUUGACAGGGGUUCAAUAUUUCACAUGUAUUUAGGUCGAAACUUGGUAACCUUUAAAUGUCGAGACAGAUAGUUGUCCUUGUUGAAGUUCUUUUUGUCUUUAUAUAUAUAUGGUAUUGUAAGGUUUCUGUUUAUAUGAAUGGUAUCCCUUAUAUCGUUAUAUUCAAUCAUUUACCCCUUUGUCAAAUGCAUACACCAUCUAUCAACUUAGGAUAUUAGACAAUAAAUGUUUUCAAAAAAAUGUUACAGUGAAGGACAUACAUUUAUGAAAUGACGGAAUUGUUUCUGCACCUGAUAGAUUUAAUGUUUUUUUAGUAAUACCAAUGUCUGUCUUAUUUUG
rnacentral:lncRNA from 1 species